GACAGAGGAGCCAAGCGUUGUCCGGAUUUACUGGGCGUAAAGAGCGCGCAGGCGGUCGUACAAGUCGCGUGUGAAAGCCCCUGGCUCAACUGGGGAGGGUCACGCGAUACUGUUCGACUCGAAGGCAGGAGAGGGAAGUGGAAUUCCCGGUGUAGUGGUGAAAUGCGUAGAUAUCUGGAAGAAUACCGGUGGCGAAGGCGGCAUCCUGGACCGGCAUUGACGCUGAUGAGCGAAAGCUAGGGGAGCAAACGGG
rnacentral:rRNA from 1 species